UCUUCCGUAGUAUAGUGGUCAGUAUAUGAGCUUGUCACUUUGAAAGAGAUGAUUUCGCUCGGGACCCGGGUUCAAUUCCCGGCGGGAGAG
rnacentral:tRNA from 1 species